rnacentral:tRNA from 1 species
GUGGUAGCUCAGUGGUAGAGCACAUGCCUCACAUGCUGAGGCAUGGUGUUCAAUUCUCAGCACCACA